CUGUUGAAGCAUUCGGACAGGUGAUAUCCUGGCAGUAGAACCACGUCGACUGCCAGUUCCUGACCGACUCACAUAACUAGAGAGCAGGAUAACUGCUCCGACUCUUUUUCUGGAAACCUAGACCCCCGCAGAGCUGGAGAAGAUGUGUUUUAUCAUCCGACUGGCUAAGUUGUUUGAUGGUCUGGGAUCUAGUAGAAAAUAUGUGCUUGAACAGCCCCCAAUGGGGGGGACAGCCAAUGAAACACUCACACAAGACUAUAAAGGCAGAAAGGUGGGCGAUGGCAUUCGGAGGGAAAUGGUGAAGUUGGGCACCGAAGUGAUUCAUGAUGCCCUUGAAGAAAGGAUGCAGGGGUAAAGAAAAAC
rnacentral:lncRNA from 1 species